CUUCCAUCUAAUUGUGGAGAUCCCCAAUCGAUGUCUAUCCAGAGCGGCGUCACCGGCGUUGCUCCAUCGAUGACGCAUUCUGGUGGUGAUGGCGGGAGCUCCCAAGGCACCAGCGUGACCUGCGCCCCUACAUCCGCAUCAUUCUAAUGGUUCCCACUGCACCAGCGGUAGCAGCGCCAUGGCGUCACGGCUGCACAGCCGAGCUCCUCUCGUCUGGCGACCAAACCACAAGUGCCAGGAGCACGACACCGGCUGGUCAGAGGAAGCGUCAGAUCGACUACCGCACAGGGCCUUCCUAGCUCUAGCCGAUUGGAAUCAGUUCAACUACGAUGCAGGGUUGUCUAUUAUCUAUUGCUCACCCUUCUUGCAGAUGAAAAUCGAUUUUUUCUUCAAGAUCUUGUGGGUACAGGACCUUGCGAUCCCGAACAGGAGCAAAAAGCAUUGCAAUAUUCGUUGUGCUCACCCCCCCCCCCACCCCCCUUUUGUGUUUAUCAGAGUUCCAUGUCAAUUUAAUAUGAAUCUGCACCUAGAAGAAGAGCGUUGAUGCAGCCCUUUAAGCACGAGGAUUUGGUGAGCAACUGAUGAUUUUUACAAUUUCAUGAUGCUUUUAACAGAUCUGGUUAGUGAGAUUUGCUCCAUUCAAUUCGUUCUCUUUCUGCUCCGCGCUUAUAUUAACUAUUUUUAGUAGCAUAGUCCAUAUGUUUAUUCUAGCAAUUUUGUUCCAAAUCAGAUCAGUUGAGUUGUCUUCCUAAUGUAUCUGAUUGAGUAUCCAGUAGAUUAAACUAGAUAACAGUAACAGGAGUUUGGAGUUCUUGCUUUAAUUUUUCAUUGUGGGCUACUUUGUUUCACAGAAGGGUAUGUAUAGAGCAACGAUUAUACUUCCAGGAGUACCUACAUCGAAUCAAUACUGCAUUUGCAGGCACACAAAAGGGUAUGUCUGGAGCGAGGAUUAGACUGCCAGCAGAUCAGGGUGUUGAUGCAUCUAAUCAGGGGGACUAUGGCUGCUAUGUGUGCCCGCAAAUGCAUGUAGAUGUUCAAUUUUUUACACAUUUUUUAUGCUACUCCCAUGGCGCAUUUGUAUAUAGUAGUACUUGUGGAGCUUACAGCUUUUGUAACUUGUAUUAGUUCAAAUCCGGAAGCCCUAGUAUUUCAGCUUUGAUUUCUACUUUUUUUGGGGCAAUGCUGGAAGUAUAUACUACCACUGGAAAAAGUGUAAUACUACUUUGUGAGAAAUAUGAACUGCUAUUGUUUUAAGAAGUAUAUA